GGAGAGAUGGCAGAGUGGUCGAAUGCGCCAGACUCGAAAUCUGGUAUACCUCUCAAGGGUAUCUAGGGUUCGAAUCCCUAUCUCUCCGCCA
rnacentral:tRNA from 1 species